rnacentral:rRNA from 1 species
UAGGGAAUCUUCCGCAAUGGGCGAAAGCUUGACGGAGCAACGCCGCGUGAGUGAUGAAGGUCUUCGGAUCGUAAAACUCUGUUAUUAGGGAAGAACAAAUGUGUAAGUAACUAUGCACGUCUUGACGGUACCUAAUCAGAAAGCCACGGCUAACUACGUGCCAGCAGCCGCAGUAAUACGUAGGUGGCAAGCGUUAUCCGGAAUUAUUGGGCGUAAAGCGCGCGUAGGCGGUUUUUUAAGUCUGAUGUGAAAGCCCACGGCUCAACCGUGGAGGGUCAUUGGAAACUGGAAAACUUGAGUGCAGAAGAGGAAAGUGGAAUUCCAUGUGUAGCGGUGAAAUGCGCAGAGAUAUGGAGGAACACCAGUGGCGAAGGCGACUUUCUGGUCUGUAACUGACGCUGAUGUGCGAAAGCGUGGGGAUCAAACAGG